CAGGGAUAUUAAACAUUGAAUGAUGAUCAUCGAUUUUGUAUGGUCCAUUUAACUGUUCAUCUCUAGGUCGAUCGGUACCUCAAUAACCCUUCAAUUUUAAGUAAUCUAUUUAUUUAGUUCACUUAAUUAUUAAUGUGGUUAUCUCGGUCCUUAAGCUUGUCUAGGUCACACCCCAUAGCUGCUAAGCUAUGGAGAUGGGCCCGAAAGGGUUCUGGGCCAUUAGCUUCAGGUGGUUAGAGCGCCACCCUGAUAAGGUGAGGUCCCUGGUUCAAGUCCAGGAUGGCCCAUUCAACAUCCCCAGGGAUGAUUGGGGGUUUAGCUCAGUUGGUAGAGCGCCUGCUUUGCAAGCAGGAUGUCAGCGGUUCGAGUCCGCUAACCUCCAUCGAACAUUUGUGAUCUAGAAGGUAAUGGUGAAACCAGCCUCGUUUGAUUCUUUAAUCAUUAAGUCCAUGUUUUGGCCUUAUUUGAGAAGUUCAAACGAUGCUGGGCUCAGCAAUGGGUUCAGCAAAGAACCUUGACAACUGCAUAGGUGAAUCUGGAAAUAAGCAUCUAACAGAUGACCCAGAAGAACGUAUUGUAAACGAAAGUUUACUUUAUUUUCUAAUGGAUCAACUAAUUCUGUAGAAAGCCGAGAUCUAGCUUUAUUGGGGAAACUCUUCUUUCACGAGGGGAGUGAAACUAAUUUAGUUAGAUAAUAAAAU
rnacentral:tRNA from 1 species